CUAAUAGAUGUUUUGCAAAGUGUGAGGUGUGAAAAGUGUUUUAAGUUGUGAGUCAGCAUUUAAGAGUUAUACCUACCCAAGGUCUUUAUGGGUAUUUCCUAUCCUUAUGAAGGUAAAACUGUCCUUACUAUUGAGAAGUAAGUAGUCUUAUCCUUUGGAUGUAAAGGGACAUCGUAGGGUCGUCGAUUGGUCAUUGAAGGCAACAUUUG
rnacentral:lncRNA from 1 species